rnacentral:lncRNA from 1 species
ACGUCCCUCUCAAACUCUUGGUUGAGUUCAAUAAAUUUCUAUCCGCUGUCUUUACCAUUCCUUAAUUUCUUUCUUCUAUGUUUGAUUUACUUUUGUAUCAAUUAAUCUCUAUCUAAUUUAGGGUUUUUAUUUUUUGUUUUGGGAACAUAUCCAAAAUGAGUAUCCAUAACCAAACCUCCUCGAUUCGCCACAUCACUGUCAAUAUUAUUUUUUUUCUUUUUUUUUUUCCAAUGGGCUGCCACGUGGCCGCCCCUCCAAUUUGUCAAGGGUUUUUGCAGGUACGUGGAAUCAACCCAUACAACCCUGGACAAUACAACCCAUACAACGCCGGACUCGGUAAGUAGAGUCAGGGGUUGUCUUUUAUGUGACAAAACUAACCCUUGUGAGUUUUGUAAUAUCGUAUGCCCUGACUCCACGUGUUUGAGUGCAGGGUUAGUUUUGUCACAAGGCAUACAAAACUAACCCAAAACUGACCCUUGAACCCCCUCUAUAUAAAGGGUAUACUGCUGGAACAAUUAAUCACGCAACCAUCUUCUGGAGAUCGGUGGCCUGGUCUGUAAGAAAGAGGCAGCGGGGAGUGCUGGAGAGAACGAAGGUAAUUUCCUUCUUCUCUCGGAGGCCUGGUCUGUAAGAAAUAGGCAGCAGGGAGUGAUCGGGUACGUCCCUCUCCAACUAUUGGUUGAGUUCAAUAAAUAUCUAUCUGCUGUCUCUACCAUUCCUUAAUUUCUUUCUUCACUGUUUGAUUUCCUUUUGUAUCAUUUAAUCUCUAUCUAAUUUAGGGUUUUUUUUUUUUUGUUUUGGGAACAGAUCCAAAAUGAGUAUCCAUAACCAAACCUCCUCGAUUCACCACAUCACUGUCAAUAUUGUG